rnacentral:rRNA from 1 species
AGCGAACGCUGGCGGCAUGCCUAACACAUGCAAGUCGAGCGCUCCCAGCAAUGGGGGAGCGGCGGACGGGUGAGUAACGCGUAGGAACGUAUCCUGAGGUGGGGGAUAACCCUGGGAAACUAGGGCUAAUACCGCAUGAUGGCGAGAGCCCAAAGAUUUAUCGCCUUGGGAGCGGCCUGCGUCUGAUUAGCUUGUUGGUGGGGUAACGGCCUACCAAGGCGAUGAUCAGUAGCUGGUCUGAGAGGAUGAUCAGCCACACUGGGACUGAGACACGGCCCAGACUUCUACGGGAGGCAGCAGUGGGGAAUAUUGGACAAUGGGCGAAAGCCUGAUCCAGCAAUGCCGCGUGGAUGAAGAAGGUCUUCGGAUUGUAAAGUCCUUUCGGCGGGGACGAUGAUGACGGUACCCGCAGAAGAAGCCCCGGCUAACUUCGUGCCAGCAGCCGCGGUAAGGCACGACUGU